rnacentral:rRNA from 1 species
CCUACGGGAGGCAGCAGUUAGGAAUCUUGCGCAAUGGGCGAAAGCCUGACGCAGCGACGCCGCGUGCGGGAUGACGGCCUUCGGGUUGUAAACCGCUUUCAGCAGGGACGAUUAUGACGGUACCUGCAGAAGAAGCCCCGGCCAACUACGUGCCAGCAGCCGCGGUAAUACGUAGGGGGCAAGCGUUGUCCGGAUUUAUUGGGCGUAAAGAGCUCGUAGGCGGUUUGGUAAGUCGGGUGUGAAAUCUCCACGCUCAACGUGGAGGGGCCACUCGAUACUGCCAUGACUCGAGUCCGGUAGAGGAGUGUGGAAUUCCCGGUGUAGCGGUGAAAUGCGCAGAUAUCGGGAGGAACACCCGUAGCGAAGGCGGCACUCUGGGCCGGAACUGACGCUGAGGAGCGAAAGCGUGGGGAGCAAACAGGAUUAGAUACCCUGGUAGUCCACGCCGUAAACGUUGGGCACUAGGUGUGGGGAUCUAUCGACGGUCUCCGUGCCGAAGCUAACGCAUUAAGUGCCCCGCCUGGGGAGUACGGCCGCAAGGCUAAAACUUAAGGAAUUGACGG